UUUGAUCUCAAAUCAGGUAGGACUACCCGCUGAACUUAAC
rnacentral:rRNA from 1 species